CCUGCCCUUAGAGUUUGAUCCUGGCUCAGGACGAACGCUGGCGGCGCGCCUAACACAUGCAAGUCGAACGGAGCUGAGAGGAGCUUGCUUUUCUUAGCUUAGUGGCGAACGGGUGAGUAACGCGUGAGUAACCUGCCCUGGAGUGGGGGACAACAGUUGGAAACGACUGCUAAUACCGCAUAAGCCCACGGUGCCGCAUGGCACUGCGGGAAAAGGAUUUAUUCGCUUCAGGAUGGACUCGCGUCCAAUUAGCUAGUUGGUGAGGUAACGGCCCACCAAGGCGACGAUUGGUAGCCGGACUGAGAGGUUGAACGGCCACAUUGGGACUGAGACACGGCCCAGACUCCUACGGGAGGCAGCAGUGGGGGAUAUUGCACAAUGGGGGAAACCCUGAUGCAGCGACGCCGCGUGGAGGAAGAAGGUUUUCGGAUUGUAAACUCCUGUCGUUAGGGACGAUAAUGACGGUACCUAACAAGAAAGCACCGGCUAACUACGUGCCAGCAGCCGCGGUAAAACGUAGGGUGCAAGCGUUGUCCGGAAUUACUGGGUGUAAAGGGAGCGCAGGCGGACCGGCAAGUUGGAAGUGAAAUCCAUGGGCUCAACCCGUGAAUUGCUUUCAAAACUGCUGGCCUUGAGUAGUGCAGAGGUAGGUGGAAUUCCCGGUGUAGCGGUGGAAUGCGUAGAUAUCGGGAGGAACACCAGUGGCGAAGGCGACCUACUGGGCACCAACUGACGCUGAGGCUCGAAAGCAUGGGUAGCAAACAGGAUUAGAUACCCUGGUAGUCCAUGCCGUAAACGAUGAUUACUAGGUGUUGGAGGAUUGACCCCUUCAGUGCCGCAGUUAACACAAUAAGUAAUCCACCUGGGGAGUACGACCGCAAGGUUGAAACUCAAAGGAAUUGAC
rnacentral:rRNA from 1 species